UGAACAGCCUGUCAGGCUCUCUACCAGGCUCUCUCAGCCUGUCCUCGUAGAAGAGGUGCUCCAUCCCUUGGAUCAUUUUUGUGGCCCUCUUCUUGACACACUCCGACAGGUCUACAUUUCUCCUGUACUGACUCCACAUGUGGAUGCAGUACUCCAGAACUAAAUACCAAGAAAAUUAGUUGAUUCUCUACCUCCUGAUGUCAAGGUGUGGAGAAGAUUCCUCUGAUUUGUCUGUAAUACAAACUGUGUUACCAAGGACAUCUGCCUAUUGGCACAGAAAUCACCCUGGGAAGAAAACAAGAGGAAGCUCAGCUCCGAGAAGGUGAAAGCUCUGAAACGAUCUGAUACUCUUUUGCCAGAGACGCACAUUUACAGUUAUUACAUUUCUUGCAGCUCACAAAUGCACUCAGUUAACACUCUAUAAACCUAAAUAGACAGUCAGAUAAAUAAUUCAUUAUAUACAUAAAAAAGAAUAUCUGUAACACCGCACUUACUAUGGUUCUGUGCAUAAUCCAUCUUUAUAUAGCACAAAUAUGCAUUUUAUUUCAUGCUAUAAAGGUCUAAGAAAAGCAAAUUAAAAACUAUUCACACAAAUGCAUUUAUUUUGCCUCUUUCGGAGCAGGUUUUCACAGUGCUCUUUGCAGCACCUCUGACACCUACCCAGAUCAUUCCUCACUUCCUGGGGGCUGCAGCAAAAGCUCUCGGAUAUUUAUUCAUUCCAGGUCCCCAUGUCCCAGAGGUCAUGGACUUUCACAAGGACAUGAAGUACGAGACAGUGGAAAGUGAACUGCAUGGUGCACAUAACAAUCCAGGCCACAUUAACAUCGUAACAGAAGAAUGAUGCACACUAGAGAGGGGAGAUAAAAACCCAUGGUUAUAAAGCAUUCCAUACUGGCAACGGCUCCUGAGGCUCAGUCUCAUCAGUCUUCAGCCAGAGCCAGCUCCCACCUGUAAAUUGCCCGCUGGUGCAGUACUCACUGUUUCACUUUUUGCCUUUGCAAGAGAUGAAGAUUUCACAAGAAGCUCGCCUUGCCUUUGCAUGAGGGGCCAGUGAGGAGGCAUCCUGCAGGUUGUCUCCAUCUCAAAGCAUUGUCUUUGUACUCCUCAGCAGGACACACCUGAAGUAGCUGUGCCGCCACUGUGCCAGUCAUUGACAAAAUAUUUCUGCAACAGAAUCUUGUUAUUUCCCAACAAUUAUUUACAUUUAUUUUUAGCUUAAUCACAUACGAGCCAUAUGAGGUACAAAUCCAGUUUGUCUAUUUCUAUUUCUCAGAGCAGCCUAACUGCCCAAAUGCUUUGUUUACAGUUAUUUCUAGGGAAAGCAGAGUACCUGGGUAGCCUUCUGUUGACGUUUCUACUCUGAUACACUUCAUUAUUUAACCCCUAAUAUAUACCCUAAUAUAGUAAUGGGUUUUAGCUCUCAGCUUGUUGAUAAUCCCAGUGCUGCUACCCCCAUUCUAACUGAUGUGACUCUUAUUUAAGUAUACUCUUACAGGGACUGGGUGGUGUGGGAGUACUGCCUGAGUCUUGGGGGGCUCUUUGGUCUGGAGGGAGCCUUAAAACCCAUCCCAGCCACCCCAGCCUCAGUGCUGCUGCAGUGUGAGGCAGAGCCUGCUCCUCGCCCCUUCUGCCUCUGAAGAAGUCAGCUCAGAGGCUCUGAGAAAACAUUGUAAAGAGUAAACCAGGCUGUGCUUUGGCUGCAUACUGAUUUCCUCCUCAACAUUAAAUCUUGUCUUGUUUUGUGUCUGCUCCUUUCCCCAUAUCUGCCUCCUUUUUCACACCUCUCCCUGAGAUUAACACACUUUUAGCUAAUGCUAGAUGCUUUUGAAGAUACUUUCACCUAUGCACAUGUUUUUCUGACAAGGUUAAGGAGAAAAUAGCUUCAGUGCAGAACUGAAGGAAGACAUUGGCCCUGCCAAAUGACAACACAACUCCAAAGGCAACCAAAACAAAUAGAGUGUCUUUUGUGCAAGGCAGAAGAUUCAGAUCUCCUUUCUGUAGAUUUAUAUGAAGCCAGCUGGACAGAUUUAUUUCAGAAGACAGAAGCAGAAAACAUUUAUACAUGAAUGGAAAUAACUGAUGAUGCUGCAAGUACUAUCUCCUGGCUUUGCUCCAUAUGGUUUUGAAAACUCUUUUGACGAAGAACUGCGGUUUAUGAGCAGUUUUCUUCAAAUUUAACUAAAUAUUGAUUGACCAGAUUAAAAACCUUAACUCCAACCUCCCCUCAUCGGUGGGGCUGCCACCCACCAGAUCAGGCUGUCCAGGGCCCCAUCCAACUUGGCCUUGAACGCCCCCAGGAAUGGGGCAUCCA